GACGUAGGGCGCGAGCGUUGUCCGGAUUUAUUGGGCGUAAAGAGCUUGUAGGCGGCUUGUCGCGUCGACUGUGAAAACCCGUGGCUCAACCAUGUGGUCUGCAGUCGAUACGGGCAGGCUAGAAUUCGGUAGGGGAGACUGGAAUUCCUGGUGUAGCGGUGAAAUGCGCAGAUAUCAGGAGGAACACCGGUGGCGAAGGCGGGUCUCUGGGCCGAUAUUGACGCUGAGGAGCGAAAGCGUGGGGAGCGAACAGG
rnacentral:rRNA from 1 species